rnacentral:rRNA from 1 species
UACGAAGGGGGCUAGCGUUGCUCGGAAUUACUGGGCGUAAAGCGCACGUAGGCGGUCUUUUAAGUCGGUGGUGAAAUCCUGGAGCUCAACUCCAGAACUGCCUUCGAUACUGGAAGACUUGAGUCCGGGAGAGGUGAGUGGAACUGCGAGUGUAGAGGUGAAAUUCGUAGAUAUUCGCGAGAACACCAGUGGCGAAGGCGGCUCACUGGCCCGGUACUGACGCUGAGGUGCGAAAGCGUGGGGAGCAAACAGG